CCGUCUUGAAACACGGACCAAGGAGUCUAGCAUGUGCGCGAGUCAUUGGGAAUUCRUAAACCCAAAGGCGUAAUGAAAGUGAACAGCGUCGACCUCGCGUCGGCCGCAGGGAAGACGGCGUACGGUGUGACCGUUCGCCCGCACUCCCGAGGCGUUUCGAGAAAUACCUCCGUUGUGAUUAUCGAGACGCACUGAGAGCGUACACGCUGGGACCCGAAAGAUGGUGAACUAUGCCUGGUCAGGUCGAAGUCAGG
rnacentral:rRNA from 1 species